rnacentral:tRNA from 2 species
GCCGCGGUAGCUCAGUGGUAGAGCAGAGGAUUGAAAAUCCUCGUGUCGGUGGUUCAAUUCCGCCUCGCGGCACCA